rnacentral:rRNA from 1 species
ACGAAGGAUCCAAGCGUUGUCCGGAUUUACUGGGUUUAAAGGAUGCGUAGGCGGACACUUAAGCCAGUGGUGAAAUCCCAUAGCUCAACUAUGGAACUGCCAUUGGAACUGUGUGUCUUGAAUUCGGUUGAGGUAGAUGGAAUAUAACAUGUAGCGGUGAAAUGCUUAGAUAUGUUAUAGAACACCGAUUGCGAAGGCAGUCUACUAAGCCGACAUUGACGCUGAGGCAUGAAAGCGUGGGGAGCGAACAGG